ACAUAAACAGGAACUGCAACAAUGGAGGCGAGCAUGAAGCCCGUGGGUGUAUGACAGCAUGUAAACGGCAAAUCAAGCGCAAAUCCACCAAAAUCAUAAUGCACGCUUUCUAAACGGACAGUUAAAUGUUCUACGUGUGAAAUCGAAAGAAUGGCUUCGUGGUCGGAGAAAAUGCUACAACUGCUGCGUCGAAUGAAUAACUUCCAUUAUCCAGGUUCUAGUUUAGAGAGCUGUCUACGUUUUAAGGUGGCUGGUGAACAGGUUGGAUGGAUUUCCCCAAAAGUAGCAACAAUUCUUGGGCGUUUUCCUGCUGUCUUCAGACCAUACGGGAGCACUAUAACCUUCAGCUCCGGUCUUGACACUUUUGAGAGCAGAUCAGUGGCUGUGGAUGAGGUCUUGCAUGAGCUGAGGAGAGAGGCAACAUUCACCUGUCUCAUAGGCUGGAGAGAUGAGCAAUAUGCUGUGAUGCCCAGGUAUUGCGACCCUCCGCUGAUGUAUAUGGAGAGAGCAGCUACAAGUCUGUUUGGAGUGAAACGGUACGGCGUCCAUAUCAAUGGCUACACUCGGGAUUCAAGUGGCAACCUUAAUAUGUGGCUGGCACGACGAUCUCUGACCAAACAGACAUAUCCAGGAAGACUUGACAACAUGGCGGCUGGAGGACUGGCAGCAGGCUGUAGUGUAAGGCAUACCAUGGUAAAAGAGUGUGAAGAGGAGGCCUGUAUCCCUCCAGGCCUGGCAGAGCAAGCACGUCCUGUGGGAACCGUGAGCUACACCUACGAAGAUGACGAAGGAAUAUUUCCUGAGUGUCAGUUUGUCUUUGAUUUAGAGCUGCCUCUCAAUUUUCAGCCUCACAUUGGAGACGGAGAAGUGCAAGCAUUUUACUACUAUCCAAUAGAGAAGGUGAAAGAUCUCCUGGUCAGUGAGGAGUUCAAGCCAAACUGUGCAAUGGUGGUUCUGGACUUCCUCAUCAGGCAUGCCAUUAUUGAGCCAGACUCAGAGCCCUAUUAUCACGAAUUUGUGGCUGGAUUGCACAGAUCACUGUAAAAACUGACUGUCGGUGUUAAAGGGUUACUUUACCCAAAAAUAAAAAUUAGCCCUUAGAUUACUCACCCUUAAGUCAUCUUAGGUGUAUAUGACUAUCUUCUUUCAGACGAAUCCAGUCUGAGUUAUAUUAAAAAUAGUUUUUGAUCUUCUAAGCUGUUUAAUGGCACUCAACGGGUGUUGCAGUGCAUCAGUCCAAAAGAAGUUAAAUAAAAAGCGCCCAUCCAUAUAAAAACUGUCUCACACGGCUCCGGGGGGUGAAAAAAGGCCUCCUGUAGCAAAUCGAUGCGUUUUUAUAAGAAUAAUAUCCAUAUUCAAAAUAUGAUUUUGAGGGUGAGUAAUUUAUGGGAUCAUUUGCAUUUUUGGGUGUCCUUUGAGACUUCUGUCGACCUGCAACAGUUUGGUAUUUUAGUUAUCUACCUCCGCUUUUAACUCCUAACAUCGCCAGCAUGUGUACUUGUUUACUGGAGACCACAUCUGGCCGAUGAAGACAUUUUACGGCAACAUAACCCGAGAAGAGACACAGAAUAAUGACCCAAGCAAAGUUACCCUAUAAGAAUUUAUUUUUUCAAUAUAUUUCAAAUGAGACUGUGGAAAUCCAAAGAUGCACUGGUAUACAAAAGAUAAUUGAUGCAUCAAAGGCUCUUUUUUUCUUACAAUGAAAUGCAGAAUCUCAUCUAAGAAAUGACUUGCAUUUAAUAAUAUGGCAUUAAACAGCUCUCUCAAAAUCACAUUUUCGCUACCGUUUUCCUUUCUUUUAAAACUUUUAAAUUCUACGAUACUAGAAUUUGUAAAAUACGCAAAAACGAUAUUGUAUAAGCCAGUAGAAUUUCACAAAAAAACGAAAAACAA